rnacentral:rRNA from 1 species
GGUUAAGCGACUAAGCGUACACGGUGGAUGCCCUGGCAGUCAGAGGCGAUGAAGGACGUGCUAAUCUGCGAUAAGCGUCGGUGAGGUGAUAUGAACCGUUAUAACCGGCGAUUUCCGAAUGGGGAAACCCAGUGUGAUUCGUCACACUAUCAUUAACUGAAUCCAUAGGUUAAUGAGGCGAACCGGGGGAACUGAAACAUCUAAGUACCCCGAGGAAAAGAAAUCAACCGAGAUUCCCCCAGUAGCGGCGAGCGAACGGGGAGCAGCCCAGAGCCUGAAUCAGUGUGUGUGUUAGUGGAAGCGUCUGGAAAGGCGCGCGAUACAGGGUGACAGCCCCGUACACAAAAAUGCACAUGCUGUGAGCUCGAUGAGUAGGGCGGGACACGUGGUAUCCUGUCUGAAUAUGGGGGGACCAUCCUCCAAGGCUAAAUACUCCUGACUGACCGAUAGUGAACCAGUACCGUGAGGGAAAGGCGAAAAGAACCCCGGCGAGGGGAGUGAAAAAGAACCUGAAACCGUGUACGUACAAGCAGUGGGAGCACAGAGCAAUCUGUGUGACUGCGUACCUUUUGUAUAAUGGGUCAGCGACUUAUAUUCUGUAGCAAGGUUAACCGAAUAGGGGAGCCGAAGGGAAACCGAGUCUUAACUGGGCGUUAAGUUGCAGGGUAUAGACCCGAAACCCGGUGAUCUAGCCAUGGGCAGGUUGAAGGUUGGGUAACACUAACUGGAGGACCGAACCGACUAAUGUUGAAAAAUUAGCGGAUGACUUGUGGCUGGGGGUGAAAGGCCAAUCAAACCGGGAGAUAGCUGGUUCUCCCCGAAAGCUAUUUAGGUAGCGCCUCGUGAAUUCAUCUCCGGGGGUAGAGCACUGUUUCGGCAAGGGGGUCAUCCCGACUUACCAACCCGAUGCAAACUGCGAAUACCGGAGAAUGUUAUCACGGGAGACACACGGCGGGUGCUAACGUCCGUCGUGAAGAGGGAAACAACCCAGACCGCCAGCUAAGGUCCCAAAGUCAUGGUUAAGUGGGAAACGAUGUGGGAAGGCCCAGACAGCCAGGAUGUUGGCUUAGAAGCAGCCAUCAUUUAAAGAAAGCGUAAUAGCUCACUGGUCGAGUCGGCCUGCGCGGAAGAUGUAACGGGGCUAAACCAUGCACCGAAGCUGCGGCAGCGACGCUUAUGCGUUGUUGGGUAGGGGAGCGUUCUGUAAGCCUGUGAAGGUGUGCUGUGAGGCAUGCUGGAGGUAUCAGAAGUGCGAAUGCUGACAUAAGUAACGAUAAAGCGGGUGAAAAGCCCGCUCGCCGGAAGACCAAGGGUUCCUGUCCAACGUUAAUCGGGGCAGGGUGAGUCGACCCCUAAGGCGAGGCCGAAAGGCGUAGUCGAUGGGAAACAGGUUAAUAUUCCUGUACUUGGUGUUACUGCGAAGGGGGGACGGAGAAGGCUAUGUUGGCCGGGCGACGGUUGUCCCGGUUUAAGCGUGUAGGCUGGUUUUCCAGGCAAAUCCGGAAAAUCAAGGCUGAGGCGUGAUGACGAGGCACUACGGUGCUGAAGCAACAAAUGCCCUGCUUCCAGGAAAAGCCUCUAAGCAUCAGGUAACAUCAAAUCGUACCCCAAACCGACACAGGUGGUCAGGUAGAGAAUACCAAGGCGCUUGAGAGAACUCGGGUGAAGGAACUAGGCAAAAUGGUGCCGUAACUUCGGGAGAAGGCACGCUGAUAUGUAGGUGAAGUCCCUCGCGGAUGGAGCUGAAAUCAGUCGAAGAUACCAGCUGGCUGCAACUGUUUAUUAAAAACACAGCACUGUGCAAACACGAAAGUGGACGUAUACGGUGUGACGCCUGCCCGGUGCCGGAAGGUUAAUUGAUGGGGUUAGCGGUAACGCGAAGCUCUUGAUCGAAGCCCCGGUAAACGGCGGCCGUAACUAUAACGGUCCUAAGGUAGCGAAAUUCCUUGUCGGGUAAGUUCCGACCUGCACGAAUGGCGUAAUGAUGGCCAGGCUGUCUCCACCCGAGACUCAGUGAAAUUGAACUCGCUGUGAAGAUGCAGUGUACCCGCGGCAAGACGGAAAGACCCCGUGAACCUUUACUAUAGCUUGACACUGAACAUUGAGCCUUGAUGUGUAGGAUAGGUGGGAGGCUUUGAAGUGUGGACGCCAGUCUGCAUGGAGCCGGCCUUGAAAUACCACCCUUUAAUGUUUGAUGUUCUAACGUUGGCCCCUGAUCGGGGUUGCGGACAGUGUCUGGUGGGUAGUUUGACUGGGGCGGUCUCCUCCUAAAGAGUAACGGAGGAGCACGAAGGUUGGCUAAUCCUGGUCGGACAUCAGGAGGUUAGUGCAAUGGCAUAAGCCAGCUUGACUGCGAGCGUGACGGCGCGAGCAGGUGCGAAAGCAGGUCAUAGUGAUCCGGUGGUUCUGAAUGGAAGGGCCAUCGCUCAACGGAUAAAAGGUACUCCGGGGAUAACAGGCUGAUACCGCCCAAGAGUUCAUAUCGACGGCGGUGUUUGGCACCUCGAUGUCGGCUCAUCACAUCCUGGGGCUGAAGUAGGUCCCAAGGGUAUGGCUGUUCGCCAUUUAAAGUGGUACGCGAGCUGGGUUUAGAACGUCGUGAGACAGUUCGGUCCCUAUCUGCCGUGGGCGCUGGAGAACUGAGGGGGGCUGCUCCUAGUACGAGAGGACCGGAGUGGACGCAUCACUGGUGUUCGGGUUGUCAUGCCAAUGGCACUGCCCGGUAGCUAAAUGCGGAAGAGAUAAGUGCUGAAAGCAUCUAAGCACGAAACUUGCCCCGAGAUGAGUUCUCCCUGACUCCUUGAGAGUCCUGAAGGAACGUUGAAGACGACGACGUUGAUAGGCCGGGUGUGUAAGCGCAGCGAUGCGUUGAGCUAACCGGUACUAAUGAACCGUGAGGCUUAACCUU